CCAAUAGCGUAUAUUAAAGUUGUUGCAGUUAAAAAGCUCGUAGUUGAAUUUCGGGAUCAAUACGUCGGUCGUGCCUUCGGUACGUACUGGCGUCGUUGAUUUCUCCCUUCUGAUGAAACAUGAUGUCAUUAAUUUGAUGUUGUGGGGAGUCAGGACUGUUACUUUGAAAAAAUUAGAGUGUUUAAAGCAGGCAAACGCUUGAAUACAUUAGCAUGGAAUAAUGGAAUAGGACGUUCGAACCUAUUUUGUUGGUUUCUAGGUACAACGUAAUGAUUAAUAGGGAUAGUUGGGGGCAUUCGUAUUCAAUUGUCAGAGGUGAAAUUCUUGGAUUUAUUGAAGACUAACUACUGCGAAAGCAUUUGCCAAGGAUGUUUUCAUUAAUCAAGAACGAAAGUUAGGGGAUCGAAGACGAUCAGAUACCGUCGUAGUCUUAACCAUAAACUAUGCCGACUAGGGAUCGGAUGAAGUUAAUUUUUUAAUGACUCAUUCGGCGCCUUACG
rnacentral:rRNA from 1 species